GACGAACGCUGGCGGCGUGCUUAACACAUGCAAGUCGAACGGAAAGGCCUUUUCGGAGGUACUCGAGUGGCGAACGGGUGAGUAACACGUGGGUGAUCUGCCCUGCACUCUGGGAUAAGCCUGGGAAACUGGGUCUAAUACCGGAUAGGACCGCACUUUAGUGUGUGUGGUGGAAAGUUUUUUCGGUGUAGGAUGAGCCCGCGGCCUAUCAGCUUGUUGGUGGGGUAAUGGCCUACCAAGGCGGCGACGGGUAGCCGGACUGAGAGGUUGGUCGGCCACAUUGGGACUGAGAUACGGCCCAGACUCCUAAGGGAGGCAGAAGUGGGGAAUAUUGCACAAUGGGCGCAAGCCUGAUGCAGCGACGCCGCGUGGGGGAUGACGGCCUUCGGGUUGUAAAAUCCUUUCGCCAGGGACGAAGCGUUUUGUGACGGUACCUGGAGAAGAAGCACCGGCUAACUACGUG
rnacentral:rRNA from 1 species